AGUGAACGCUGGCGGUAGGCCUAACACAUGCAAGUCGAACGGCAGCACAGUAAGUGCUUGCUCUUACGGGCGGAGAGUGGCGGACGGGUGAGGAAUACAUCGGAAUCUACUUUUUCGUGGGGGAUAACGUAGGGAAACUUACUCUAAUACCGCAUACGACCUACGGGUGAAAGCAGGGGAUCUUUGGACCUUGCGCGAUGGAAUGAGCCGAUGUCGGUUUAGCUAGAUGGCGGGGUAAAGGCCCGCCCAGGCGACGAUCCGUAGCUGGUACGAGGGGAUGGUCACCCACACUGGAACUGAGACUCGGUCCAGACUCCUACAUGAGGCCGCAGUGGGGAAUACUGGGCAAUGGACGCAUGCCUGAUCCAGCCAUACCGCGUGGGUGAAGAAGCCCCUCUGGUUGUAAAGCCAUUUUGUUGGUAAAGAAAAGCAGCACGUUAAUCACCCGCUGUACUGACGGUACCCAAAGAAUAAGCUCCGGCUAACUUCGUG
rnacentral:rRNA from 1 species